UACGUAGGGUGCAAGCGUUAAUCGGAAUUACUGGGCGUAAAGCGUGCGCAGGCGGCUAUGUAAGACAGGUGUGAAAUGCCCGGGCUUAACCUGGGAACUGCAUUUGUGACUGCAUGGCUAGAGUUUGGCAGAGGGGGGUAGAAUUCCACGUGUAGCAGUGAAAUGCGUAGAUAUGUGGAGGAACACCGAUGGCGAAGGCAGCCCCCUGGGUCAAGACUGACGCUCAUGCACGAAAGCGUGGGGAGCAAACAGG
rnacentral:rRNA from 1 species